AUGUCUGGGAAACUGCCUGAUGGAGGGGGAUAACUACUGGAAACGGUAGCUAAUACCGCAUAACGUCGCAAGACCAAAGAGGGGGACCUUCGGGCCUCUUGCCAUCGGAUGUGCCCAGAUGGGAUUAGCUAGUAGGUGGGGUAACGGCUCACCUAGGCGACGAUCCCUAGCUGGUCUGAGAGGAUGACCAGCCACACUGGAACUGAGACACGGUCCAGACUCCUACGGGAGGCAGCAGUGGGGAAUAUUGCACAAUGGGCGCAAGCCUGAUGCAGCCAUGCCGCGUGUAUGAAGAAGGCCUUCGGGUUGUAAAGUACUUUCAGCGGGGAGGAAGGGAGUAAAGUUAAUACCUUUGCUCAUUGACGUUACCCGCAGAAGAAGCACCGGCUAACUCCGUGCCAGCAGCCGCGGUAAUACGGAGGGUGCAAGCGUUAAUCGGAAUUACUGGGCGUAAAGCGCACGCAGGCGGUUUGUUAAGUCAGAUGUGAAAUCCCCGGGCUCAACCUGGGAACUGCAUCUGAUACUGGCAAGCUUGAGUCUCGUAGAGGGGGGUAGAAUUCCAGGUGUAGCGGUGAAAUGCGUAGAGAUCUGGAGGAAUACCGGUGGCGAAGGCGGCCCC
rnacentral:rRNA from 1 species